rnacentral:rRNA from 1 species
GACAGAGGGUGCAAACGUUGCUCGGAAUUACUGGGCGUAAAGCGCGUGUAGGCGGCUUGUUAAGUCGACUGUGAAAGCCCUCGGCCCAACCGAGGAAGUGCAGCCGAAACUGACGAGCUUGAGUCCCGGAGAGGGUGGCGGAAUGCGCAGUGUAGAGGUGAAAUUCGUAGAUAUUGCGUAGAACACCGGUGGCGAAGGCGGCCACCUGGAAGGGCACUGACGCUGAGACGCGAAAGCGUGGGGAUCAAACAGG